UUACGCGUGGCGCAAUGGUAGCGCACCUCAUUCCUACUCGGUUUAGAAGCUGAUCAGGAAUCUGAACAAUGAGGAGGCUGCGGGUUCGAGUCCCGUCGUGUAAG